UGCACCAGGAAUUCUUGCUUAUGCCAAGGCAGCCACGGAGGCUUGUGGUAUCCUCUGAGGUUGCUUGACUUGAGAAUUUAGCAGAACCUGGGGGCAUUUUGUUGGAGAGCAAUAAAAGGAACCAAUCCUCUCCUCUCUGUCAGGAUGUUUGAAUAUGCAACACAUCCAGUCCCAGCUGGGAGGAUGAGGGGAGAACAUGAGGCAGCUGAGAGACCCACAGAGAAAAGGAAGCUAGCUGAAGCUAAGACAGAAGAAAAAGAGGUCAGCAGUUGAAAGAGGUGAAGAAAAACAGAUGCCACCUUGGUAGAAGCCACAGACACAAAAAUAAGCUGAGGGAUGAGAAUGGCUGGACAGACUGAAGAAGACUCAAGUUCUUUCUGACCUCCCAUUCAACCAUCAAGGUUCUCCCAAAAAGUUGAAGUUUCUUUAUCUAAGAUUUAGACCCACCUAGGAGAACAUUUGUUCUUUUCUUCUCCUCCCUAUGAAGACCCUGAAAUGUGACCACCCCUGAACAGACUCUUUGAGAAGACAAUGCCAGUCAGACUCAUUCAAAUUGCAAAGAGAACUAUUCAUCAGUUAAUCUUUGUUUCCCAUCCAUUCAUCCUUCCUAGUAAUCUUUUAUUGCCCCUCAACAGAAUUCCUCUUUUCCCCCCUCCCAUAACCCAUUUUACCAGAAAGGCAUGUAAGCUUCUGAACCUCGUCCAAGAGUUGUUUUCAUUCUAUAGGCUCCUAUGUAUGCAUGUUAAAUAAAUUUGUGUCUUUUUCUCCAUUUAA